rnacentral:rRNA from 1 species
UACGUAGGGGGCAAGCGUUGUCCGGAUUUAUUGGGCGUAAAGCGCGUGUAGGCGGCCAGGUAGGUCUGCUGUGAAAACUCGAGGCUCAACCUCGAGACGCCGGUGGAAACCAUCAGGCUAGAGCCCGGAAGAGGAGAGUGGAAUUCCUGGUGUAGCGGUGAAAUGCGCAGAUAUCUGGAGGAACACCGGUGGCGAAGGCGGCAUCCUGGACCAAUACUGACACUGAGGAGCGAAAGCCAGGGGAGCAAACGGG